GGACGCAAUCACAUCGGCAACUUCUGCUUAAUCAUUCCUUCACUUCUCUUCUCUGUGGCCAACGGAGACGACGGAAGCAACUGUGACGAUUGCAUUUACAAAACCCGACGACGAGCUCAUUCUGGUAAUCUGCAGCAUUAGGAACUACUUUUGUAAGAUUGUUCAUCAGAUCUCCUUGAUUUCAAUAUUUUUCUUGUAUUUUCUCAUCUCCAAAUCUCUGAUCUUGGAGUAUAGGGAGCAAAAUUCUGUAGCAUAGUUUGAAAUACUGCUAGGAUUGAUUGGAAAACAACUUUCAUUUUAGGGUUUUAAUCGAAAUUGUCAGUGACUGUAAAAUUGAUUGAAGUUGAAGUUUUUAGGGUUUAGAAUCCGAUGUCGUCUCUCAAGUGGGUUUAGGAGUAUGGUAGAUUAAUUUGAUCAUGGUGGUUAGAAUUCUGGGAUUGACUCGCGGAGAGGAGUCGUCGCCGAGGGAGAUCACGCGGAACAAUCUAUUGAGUGAGAGUGGUGGAGAGAGUGGUUGGUUGAUCAGAUUCUUCGAUUCUUCCUUCUUUUGUGAGUGGAUUGCGGUUAGUUAUUUGUACAAGCAUGAUCACCCAGGGGUUAGGGAUUACCUCUGCAACAGGAUGUACACUCUCCCACUAUCUGGCAUUGAAAGCUACUUGUUUCAGAUAUGUUACAUGCUUGUCCACAAGCCCAGUCCAUCGCUUGAUAAAUUCGUUAUUGAUAUAUGCUCCAAAUCGCUUAAGAUAGCACUGAAAGUGCAAUGGUUCUUGAUGGCAGAGCUUGAGGAUUCAGAUGAUAAUGAUGGGAUUAGUAGAAUACAAGAGAAAUGUCAGAUUGCUGCUACCUUAAUGGGAGAGUGGACGCCUUUGAUUAAACCACAAAAUGAGCCCACGAGCAAUGGUGGCAAGAACCAAGUUCUUACUAGGUUACUAUCCUCAAAACAACGGUUAUUAUCAUUAGCAACAUCUCCUCCGCCUCAGAAGUCUUUCUCUUUCUCUUCUUCUGCAGCGAACCCUUCGCAGGAUGAAGGUAGUAGCAAGGCCUCACCAGAUGAUAAUACAAUAUUUAAGAAAUUCAUUCCUAGUCCAAAAGUGCGGAAUGCAUUGCUUUUCAGGAAAUCCAUUGAUAAAGACGAAGAGGAACCUGACAAGGAUGGGUUCUUCAAGAGGCUUUUACGAGAUUCUAAAGAUGAGGAUGAAUCAGACAAGGAUGGUUUCUUCAAGAGGCUUUUACGAGAUUCUAAAGAUGAGGAUGAAUCAGACAAGGAUGGUUUCUUCAAGAGGCUUUUACGAGAUUCUAAGGAUGAGGAUGAAUCAGACAAAGAUGGUUUCUUCAAAAGGUUUUUAAGAGAUUCUAAAGAUGAAGAUGUGCGAAAGUCAGUCGAGAGAGAUGACGAGGACAAGGAGAAGGAUGGAUUUUUCCGUAGGUUUCUCAAAGAUAGUAAAGAUGAAGAUGAGGUCACAUCAAGCUCGGAUAAGUUUUUUAAACGGAUAUUUCGUGAUAAUAAAGGAGAUUUGGAGGAAAAAACGGUUUCAAAAUCUGCAGAAGGUGAUGAUAAAGAUGGGUUCUUUCGGAAACUUUUCAGGGAUAAAAGCGAAGAAGAAGAGAAAGUGACGAAUUCUGUCGAAGAUGAUGAGAAAGAAGGUUUCUUUCGGAAAAUCUUUAAAGAAAAAUUUGAAGACAAGAAAGAUGAAGCUGCUAGCGAGGAAGGCAAUGGGCAUGCAAAUGGUGUGGACGAAGAACCUUCGGACUUUCCCUUGUUCCGCAGAUUGUUUCGUAUGCAAUCUGAUGAUACCAAAACUGUACCGACAAAUGAAAACAUCAAUGGUGGUGGGCUUGAAAGCAGUCCAGGAACAGAGAUUUUUUUCCGCAAGUUAUUCAGAGACCGCGAUCGUUCUGUGGAAGAUUCAGAGCUUUAUGGAUCAAAAAAGAACAAGGAGAAGAAUCCUGGUUCAAAGCAAAGGAAUGAGAAUUCCAGUAACAAGCCACCUCUGCCAAAUGCGACUGCAUCACAGUUUCGUAAAGGGACAUAUCAUGAGUCCCUUGAUUUUGUUCACUCCCUAUGCGAGACGUCAUAUGGCUUAGUAGAUGUUUUUCCGGUUGAAGAUCGCAAAAGUGCUCUUUCUGAGUCACUCACUGAGAUCAAUGUGCAUGUUGCUGCAGCGCAAAGUAGUGGAGGCGUGUGCUUUCCCAUGGGGAAGGGGAUGUAUCGUGUGGUUCAUAUACCAGAAGAUGAAGCCGUUCUUCUUAAUUCCAGGGAAAAAGCACCUUACCUUAUAUGCGUUGAAUUAUUGAAAAGUGAAACUGUGAGUAGUACCGUAAAGGAUGGCUCUAGUUCUCAAAAACUUUCGAGGGGUGGAAUUCCAUUAGCUAAUGGAGAUGCAUUUCUGCCAAAGCCUCCUCCUUGGGCAUAUCCUUUAUCGAAUGGACAGGAUCUUUACCAUUCUGGUUAUGAUAGAAUGUCAAGAUCUGCUUCUGAUGCAAUUGACCAGGCAAUGGGUCAAUUGUGGGAUUCGAAAGCGAAGUUUGUUAAUGUGCGCCUUUUAGUGGAGAAUCCAUUGCCAUGCUGUUCAAAGAACUUUGAAGCAUCCAAUUCAAAAUUUGACAUUCAUCAUUGUGAAGGUGGGAAGUGUGCAAGUUAUCCAUCUAGAGCAGCGGAUGGCAGUGAUACAGAAUGGGUAAGAGUAGUGUUGACUGCAGAUUCUGGGGUCAGCAUGGAUGACAUAGAGGUUCAGGAACCACCGAGAAGGAGGGAGCAUCGUCGUGUUCCAAGUACCAUUGCUUUUGAGGAAGUGAAGGCUGCUGCAUUAAAAGGAGAGGCACCUGCCGGGCUCCCUUUAAAGGGGACUGGUCAAGCUUCAUCAGAUGCACAACCAAAGGAUAUAGAUGGUGCAACUCCGAAGGCAGGUGAUGCAUUAUCUGGUGAACUUUGGCAAGCAAAAAAAGAUAGAAUUCGUCAGGCUUCAGUAUAUGGAAAACUUCCUGGUUGGGACUUGUGCUCGGUUAUUGUGAAAAGUGGCGAUGAUUGUAGGCAGGAACAUCUUGCAGUGCAACUUAUUUCUCACUUUUACGAUAUAUUCCAAGAAGCUGGACUACCUCUCUGGCUGCGCCCUUAUGAAGUUCUUGUCACAUCUUCUUACACAGCUCUGAUUGAAACAAUUCCAGAUACAGCAUCACUUCACUCUAUCAAAAGUAGAUUCCCGAAUAUCACAAGCCUGCGUGACUUUUUCAUCGCCAAAUAUCAAGAAAAUUCGCCAAGUUAUAAGCUUGCACAGGUGUGGCCCCUGUGAGUCAAUAGCGCCUUGUGGACCUGAGACCUGAUGCAUGAGGCACCCAGGUUCCUGUGAAUUACUACAGUCUGGAGAUGUGGGGAUUGAGGAGGUUGCCCAUACCAAGGAGGUUGCCCAUACCAAUGAAGUUGCUUUAGGAGCCAGACAUGUGUUACUGCUUUGAUUGCGUAUCAGAGCACUUGCUUCUGGAUUUUAGAUAUCCCCUUUUGUCAUCAAAGUGGGACAUUUGAAAAUAUUUGUAGAUCUGUUAGCUGGUGCUUUUGUAUAUGCAUGGUACAAUGUGAUUAUUAGAUAAAGGAGAAACGCAAAGAUAGGUCUGUGUUAAUCUAGGAGGUAAUUUUUGUGUUAAUAUGUUAUAUACUAAAUAAACAAUGCACAAAAAGGACUCUCCGUGUGGGUUUUUAGCACUAGAUACGUGGGUGCACAAUAUUUGUGUAUGACCAUAAAUGGUUACAGUAGCUUUGGCUUGAGUUGCUUCCAACUGUUAGUAUGCCGCUGAAGUGCAUAAAAGUUAUUGACUUCUCACUUUCCAUCUCUCAGCUAAUGCAUAGUUUAAUAUAUUUUCUGAGUCAUUAUUUUCUUUGAGGGUCUUGAAUUUGAUCUACAAGAUUCUGCAUAUUCUUAUUGAAAGUACUCCGAUAUUUGACAAAUAGUCAAACACCUAUCUUAGUUCAUGUGCCUGGUGAAAAAGUACAGUUUCUGGAGGACAUCGUUACUCCGGUUCUUGCCAAGCAGUGUUGAGUUGGAACCCGGGUUUUCCAUUAGGAGCAAUUACUUGGUGAGAGGCGGUUGAUUGUUACCGAUCUUAGUGGAAUAGAUUCCUUCCAUUCUAGGUCAAAUCUUUUUGAUUGAAUUUUCACCUUUCCCUUUGGCUUUUCUUUUCUUUCAGAGGCCUCUCCUCUUUGAUAGUCUUAACAAGGUGUGGAUAUCAAGAAUGACCCUUCAUGUUUAUUACUAGUUUGAUGAUCGAAAUUGAUCAGUGGUUUGCUUGUUUGAGACAGUAUGUCCAAAACGCAUGUAUUAUUUGGCACUUUGAUUACCAUAUAUAAAUAUAUAAGAAAGAAAAGGUGAACUUAGGAAAAUUAGAAAUACAGGCAUGUACUUCAAUUUAUUCCAUUAUGUAAAAGGACUGAUGCAAACUUGAGAUAAAUAGAAGUACAAGUUUAUAAACUCUCUUCAAAGAGUGAAAUUCUAUUGCUCAUGAGUUAGUAGCCUGUGGAUUGGACUAUAUAUUUCCUUUGCUAUCCAAUGUAAUGGAACCGAUCAACUAUCAUUAUUGAAAUGAAAAUGGGAUACCCAAGUUCAUACUCUAGUGUCUCUCUGGCUUUUAACAGUGAAUCUUUG